rnacentral:rRNA from 1 species
UACAGAGGUGGCAAGCGUUGUUCGGAAUUACUGGGCGUAAAGGGCGCGUAGGCGGCCUACUAAGUCAGACGUGAAAUCCCCCGGCUUAACCUGGGAACUGCGUCUGAUACUGGAAGGCUUGAGGAUGGGAGAGGGAUGUAGAAUUCCAGGUGUAGCGGUGAAAAUGCGUAGAUAUCUGGAGGAAUACCGGUGGCGAAGGCGGCAUCCUGGACCAUUACU